UACGUAGGGUGCGAGCGUUAAUCGGAAUUACUGGGCGUAAAGCGUGCGCAGGCGGCUUUGCAAGACAGAUGUGAAAUCCCCGAGCUCAACCUGGGAACUGCAUUUGUGACUGCAAGGCUAGAGUACGGCAGAGGGGGAUGGAAUUCCGCGUGUAGCAGUGAAAUGCGUAGAUAUGCGGAGGAACACCAAUGGCGAAGGCAAUCCCCUGGGCCUGUACUGACGCUCAUGCACGAAAGCGUGGGGAGCAAACAGG
rnacentral:rRNA from 1 species